rnacentral:rRNA from 1 species
AUCCAGAGUACAUCGAGACACGAGAAACCUUGAUGGAAUGAGCGGGGACCACCCCGUAAGCCUAAAUACUACUUAGUGACCGAUAGCGCAUAGUACUGUGAAGGAAAGGUGAAAAGGACCCCGGGAGGGGAGUGAAAGAGAACCUGAAACCCUGUGUUUACAAGCUGUGGAAGUUCUUUAAAUGAACAACCGCGUACUUUUUGUAGAACGGUCCGGCGAGUUGCGGAUACUGGCAAGGUUAAGCACUUAAGGUGCGGAGCCGAAGGGAUACCAAGUCUUAACAGGGCGUAAAGUCAGUAUACGCAGACCCGAAACCGGGUGAUCUAUCCAUGUCCAGGUUGAAGUUGUCGUAAAAGACAAUGGAGGACCGAAGCCACAUCCGUUGAAAAGGGUGGGCAUGAGGUGUGGAUAGGGGAGAAAUUCCAAUCGAACCCGGAGAUAGCUGGUUCUCCUCGAAAUAGCUUUAGGGCUAGCCUCGAUUUAGUCUUAUGGAGGUAGAGCACUGAAUUUCCGCGGGGGCGUCAAAGCUUACCAAAGAAUAUCAAACUCCGAAUGCCAUGUAGAUGAUGAUCGGGAGUCAGACUGCACGAGAUAAGUUGGGCAGUCAAAAGGGAAAGAGCCCAGACCACCGGCUAAGGUCCCAAAGUGCGUGUUAAGUGGAAAAGGAUGUGGGAAUUCGAAGACAACUAGGAUGUUGGCUCAGAAGCAGCCAUACAUUCAAAGAGUGCGUAACAGCUCACUAGUCGAGAGUUCCUGCGCCGAAAAUGUCCGGGGCUGAAACACGACACCGAAGCCGUGGACUCGCAAUGCGAGUGGUAGAGGAGCAUUCUUAAGACCGACGAAGCUGUACCGGAAGGAGCAGUGGAGGGAUAAGAAGAGAGAAUGCCGGAAUGAGUAGCGAGAGAAAGGUGGGAAUCCUUUCGGCUGAAUAUCUAAGGUUUCCAGAGUAAAGCUGAUCUGCUCUGGGUAAGUCGGGGCCUAAGCACAGGUCGCAAGACGUAAGCGAUGGAUAACAGGUUUAGAUUCCUGUACCACGCAUUAUCAGAACUGUAGGGACGCAUGUGGAAAGCACGGGCCGGGAAUGGAAAGACCGGUACAAGCGAGGUAGGUGUACAAUAGGCAAAUCCGUUGUAUGAUCCGAAGACGUGAUGUGGAGCGAAAUAAAGUAGCAAAGCGUGUGAGCCAUGUGCCGAGAAAAGCUGCUAUUGUGUAAUGCGUGCCCGUACCGUAAACCGACACAGGUGGAUGAGGAGAGAAUCCUAAGGCCGACGGAAGAAGCAUUGUUAAGGAAUUCGGCAAAAUGACCCCGUAACUUCGGGAGAAGGGGUGCCUGCGAGAGCAGGCCGCAGAGAAUAGGCUCAAGCAACUGUUUAGCAAAAACACAGGUCUAUGCGAAACCGAAAGGUGAAGUAUAUGGGCUGACGCCUGCCCGGUGCUGGAAGGUUAAGAGGAGAGGUUAGCGUAAGCGAAGCUUUGAAUUUAAGCCCCAGUAAACGGCGGCCGUAACUAUAACGGUCCUAAGGUAGCGAAAUUCCUUGUCGGGUAAGUUCCGACCCGCACGAAAGGCGUAAUGAUUUGAGCACUGUCUCGACAAUGCAUCCGGUGAAAUUGAAGUACCAGUGAAGAUGCUGGUUACCCGCGCCAGGACGGAAAGACCCCAUGGAGCUUUACUCCAGUUUGAUACUGGGAUUCGGUACUGCAUGUACAGGAUAGGUGGGAGACGAAGAAGGAUGGACGCCAGUCUGUCCGGAGUCGCUGUUGGGAUACCACCCCUGUAGUACUGGGUUUCUAACCAGUUACCAUGAUCUGGUAAUGGGACAAUGUCAGGCGGGGAGUUUGACUGGGGCGGUCGCCUCCGAAAGGGUAUCGGAGGCGCUCAAAGGUUCCCUCAGAAUGGUUGGAAACCAUUUGAAGAGUGCAAAGGCAGAAGGGAGCUUGACUGCGACACCGACGGGUGGAGCAGGUACGAAAGUAGGACUUAGUGAUCCGGUGGUAUAAAGUGGGAUUGCCAUCGCUCAACGGAUAAAAGCUACCCUGGGGAUAACAGGCUUAUCACUCCCAAGAGUUCACAUCGACGGAGUGGUUUGGCACCUCGAUGUCGGCUCAUCGCAUCCUGGGGCUGUAGCAGGUCCCAAGGGUUGGGCUGUUCGCCCAUUAAAGCGGUACGCGAGCUGGGUUCAGAACGUCGUGAGACAGUUCGGUCCCUAUCCGGCGCGGGCGGAGGAUAUUUGAGAGGAGCUGUCCUUAGUACGAGAGGACC